rnacentral:rRNA from 1 species
UACGUAGGGUGCAAGCGUUGUCCGGAAUUAUUGGGCGUAAAGAGCUCGUAGGCGGUUUGUCGCGUCUGCUGUGAAAACCCGAGGCUCAACCUCGAGCCUGCAGUGGGUACGGGCAGACUAGAGUGCGGUAGGGGGAGAUUGGAAUUCCUGGUGUAGCGGUGGAAUGCGCAGAUAUCAGGAGGAACACCAAUGGCGAAGGCAGAUCUCUGGGCCGUAACUGACGCUGAGGAGCGAAAGCGUGGGGAGCGAACAGG